rnacentral:rRNA from 1 species
UACGUAGGGCGCAAGCGUUGUCCGGAAUUAUUGGGCGUAAAGAGCUCGUAGGCGGCCUGUUGCGUCCGCUGUGAAAUCCCGGGGCUUAACCCCGGGCUUGCAGUGGAUACGGGCAGGCUGGAGGCAGGCAGGGGAGAACGGAAUUCCCGGUGUAGCGGUGAAAUGCGCAGAUAUACGAAGGAACGCCAAAAGCGAAGGCAGCUCUCUGGGUCCCUACCGACGCUGGGGUGCGAAAGCAUGGGGAGCGAACAGG